ACAUAGCCCUACUAGACACUGAAACUGCCCUGCUUUGACCUUGGUUUUCUGGUGGAAACCGAUUCGUGUUCAUUUAGAGGUACAGAAUAGCACCCGCUGAGUGAACUGCGUGUACACUGUGGACUUCUGAGAUCAUGAACUUUGGAAGAAACUUUACUGGUUCUAAUAGACCCACCCGGAAGGUACAGCCCAGGAGGCAGGGGGCAGGGGAGCAUGAGCUGUCUGUACUUUGUGCUCAGUUCUCUUGCGAACCUAAAAUUAUUCUGAAGAAUUGUCUAUUAAUAAGACAAACGGAGAGAGAGCCACACCUGCCGAAGUCAGCUCCCCAGUGGCUUAGCCACUUUGCAUUUCUGGUACUAGAGACCCCCAGCCCUGCUGUCACUGCUUUUUCUGUGGACCUGUUCUCAAAGGCGACUGUGUCAUCUGUUUCCUUGUAAAUGAACAUCUCCUCAGAUGCCUUUGCCCUCUGGAAAAACACACUCUUCCUCCCUGGGUGAAAGUGCACAGCCACACCAGUGCCUCUGAGCUUCCAUGCUCAGGGCCGUGAGCCAGGAUCUCCCCCAACAUUAAAGGCACCAGCAUGUGAGUCGUCUACAUGUACACUCGGGCAGAACACCCAUACACAUACUACGAUAAAGACCAAUUACAGAAUCGAGCUGGAAAUGUGACUUGGUGGUGAAGCAUUUAACCAGGAAUGCACAGGCUGGGCUGGAUACCUAGCAUGGCAACAAACAAAAAUAAACUUUCCGUUUCUGAACAUAA
rnacentral:lncRNA from 1 species